AAGUAAGAAGCAAAAAUAGUGCAAUUAGUUUCGACCUAAUUAUUUGGUAUUAAAUUACCCUUAUUUA
rnacentral:tRNA from 1 species